UACGGAGGGUGCAAGCGUUAUCCGGAUUCACUGGGUUUAAAGGGUGCGUAGGCGGGCAGGUAAGUCAGUGGUGAAAUCCUAGAGCUCAACUCUAGAACUGCCAUUGAUACUAUCUGUCUUGAAUAUUGUGGAGGUAAGCGGAAUAUGUCAUGUAGCGGUGAAAUGCUUAGAUAUCGUCAAGAACACCGGUGGCGAAGGCGGCUUGCUGGCCAGAUACUGACACUAAGGGACGAAGGCGUGGGGAGCAAACAGGAUUAGAAACCCGUGUAGU
rnacentral:rRNA from 1 species